UACAGAGGGUGCGAGCGUUAAUCGGAGUUACUGGGCGUAAAGGGCGCGUAGGCGGUUUGUUAAGAUUGUUGUGAAAUCCCUGGGCUUAACCUAGGAACUGCAACGAAGACUGGCGAGCUAGAGUAUUGUAGAGGGUAGUGGAAUUUCCGGUGUAGCGGUGAAAUGCGUAGAGAUCGGAAGGAACACCAGUGGCGAAGGCGGCUACCUGGACAAAUACUGACGCUGAGGCGCGAGAGCGUGGGGAGCAAACAG
rnacentral:rRNA from 1 species